rnacentral:rRNA from 1 species
GAUAUGAACCGUUAUAACCGGCGAUUUCCGAAUGGGGAAACCCAGUGUGAUUCGUCACACUAUCAUUAACUGAAUCCAUAGGUUAAUGAGGCGAACCGGGGGAACUGAAACAUCUAAGUACCCCGAGGAAAAGAAAUCAACCGAGAUUCCCCCAGUAGCGGCGAGCGAACGGGGAGCAGCCCAGAGCCUGAAUCAGUGUGUGUGUUAGUGGAAGCGUCUGGAA